CUGAAUUGGCCGGUCUGCGACAACAAAAAACACAGAGAAGUGAUUCCUGGCAAUGUGUUGCCGGUGCAAACAUUAGAGCAACUAAACAAUGGAUAUGGCUACAAAAAUUAUGAUUCCACUACUUGUCGAGGGCACCAACUUGCAACAAUGAGAAAGUCAUGGUCCGCUUGAAGUCUGUAGCUUCAUAUUGGUUGUUCCCCAAGCUAAUUCACCCUUCAAACUGCCUGAGUCAAAUCAAUAAAAUCUUCGGUCCAUUGUGAGUAUGCAAUACAAUCAGAAAUAAUUGAAUAUAUUCUCUUACAAUAACAAACAAAAAUCACUCAGAAAAGUUUCAAGGUUUGGUAAAUUUCUAUGAAUUCCGAUUAGUUCAACAACCAAACAUGACAAUCAUCCAAAAGAGAUGUAAGCUUUGGAAAAGUAUUGCCGGUUCAGCACAGAGGAACACACCAGCAUGAUGCUACCAUCUUGUCCAUCCAUUGAAGCUUCUAUUCACAACAAUAAUAGAUGUGGCAUCACAGUAGAUACACCCUACAACCAGCACACACAGAAAAAAUCAC
rnacentral:lncRNA from 1 species